AGCACUCCAGAAACGCACCGGAGAAACCCGUGUCAUCUCAAUCAAAAGCUUGGCUCAAUUCCUCGAAACGGAGGUGCUCUCUGAGCUUGGAUGUGCAUGGAAUCCAUCUCUCUACUAUUGCCAUAAAACGUGCAGAAGGAGGAGUCCUAUAAGGUGAAGAAGAAUUAUUGACCGAUAACUGAGAUGAAGGCCACACCAUCAAAAUCAGUCUCUUUGGUAGGAUACUGUGAAGAAGAAGGGGAGCAGAUGUUGGUUUAUGAGUUCAUGCCUAAUGGUAAUGGUACCUAAUGUGACUGGUUGUGCGAUACGGACUUUGCAACAUUUGAAGUUU